rnacentral:tRNA from 1 species
GGAGAGGUGACAGAGUGGCCGAUCGUGCGGCACUGGAAAUGCCGUGUGCCCGAAAGGGUACCGCGGGUUCGAAUCCCGCCCUCUCCG